ensembl:snRNA U6 U6 spliceosomal RNA
GUGCUUGCUUCAGCAGCACUUAUACUAAAAUUAGAACAAUACAGAGUUGAUUAGCAUGGUCCUUGCACAAGGAUGACACUAUGUAGUCUCAGAGUGGCCUCAAACUCAU